rnacentral:rRNA from 1 species
CGCUGGCGGCGUGCUUAACACAUGCAAGUCGAACGAGGCCCCUUCUUCGGGAGGGUGUUCUAGUGGCGAACGGGUGAGUAACACGUGGGCAACCUGCCCCCGGCUCCGGGAUAACUCCAAGAAAUUGGGGCUAAUACCGGAUAUGACCGCUGACCGCAUGGUCUGGUGGUGGAAAGUUUUUCGGCUGGGGAUGGGCCCGCGGCCUAUCAGCUUGUUGGUGGGGUAGUGGCCUACCAAGGCGACGACGGGUAGCCGGCCUGAGAGGGUGACCGGCCACACUGGGACUGAGACACGGCCCAGACUCCUACGGGAGGCAGCAGUGGGGAAUAUUGCGCAAUGGGCGGAAGCCUGACGCAGCGACGCCGCGUGGGGGAUGACGGCCUUCGGGUUGUAAACCUCUUUCAGCAGGGACGAAGCGCAAGUGACGGUACCUGCAGAAGAAGCACCGGCCAACUACGUGCCAGCAGCCGCGG